rnacentral:rRNA from 1 species
GGAGGCAGCAGUGGGGAAUUUUCCGCAAUGGGCGAAAGCCUGACGGAGCAAUACCGCGUGAGGGAGGAAGGCUCUUGGGUCGUAAACCUCUUUUCUCAGGGAAGAAAAUUGACGGUACCUGAGGAAUAAGCAUCGGCUAACUCCGUGCCAGCAGCCGCGGUAAUACGGAGGAUGCAAGCGUUAUCCGGAAUGAUUGGGCGUAAAGGGUCUGCAGGUGGCCGUGUAAGUCUGCUGUUAAAGAAUCUGGCUUAACCAGAUAAAAGCAGUGGAAACUACAGGGCUAGAGUGCGUUCGGGGUAGAGGGAAUUCCUGGUGUAGCGGUGAAAUGCGUAGAUAUCAGGAAGAACACCAGUGGCGAAAGCGCUCUACUAGGCCGCAACUGACACUGAGGGACGAAAGCUAGGGGAGCGAAUGGGAUUAGAUACCCCAGUAGUCCUAGCCGUAAACGAUGGAUACUAGGCGUGGCUUGUAUCGACC